rnacentral:rRNA from 1 species
GAUGAACGCUGGCGGCGUGCUUAACACAUGCCAGUCGAACGAUGAAGCCCAGCUUGCUGGGUGGAUUAGUGGCGAACGGGUGAGUAACACGUGAGUAACCUGCCCUUAACUCUGGGAUAAGCCUGGGAAACUGGGUCUAAUACCGGAUAGGAGCGUCCACCGCAUGGUGGGUGUUGGAAAGAUUUAUCGGUUUUGGAUGGACUCGCGGCCUAUCAGCUUGUUGGUGAGGUAAUGGCUCACCAAGGCGACGACGGGUAGCCGGCCUGAGAGGGUGACCGGCCACACUGGGACUGAGACACGGCCCAGACUCCUACGGGAAGCAGCAGUGGGGAAUAUUGCACAAUGGGCGCAAGCCUGAUGCAGCGACGCCGCGUGAGGGAUGACGGCCUUCGGGUUGUAAACCUCUUUCAGUAGGGAAGAAGCGAAAGUGACGGUACCUGCAGAAGAAGCACCGGCUAACUACGUG